CCCUUAGAUGUUCUGGGCCGCACACGCGCUACACUGAAGGAGGCAGCGUGUACUCCUGGAUCGAAAGAUUUGGGUAACCCGCGAAUCUCCUUCGUGCUAGGGAUUGAGGUUUGCAAUUAUCCUUCAUGAACGAGGAAUUCCCAGUAAGUGCAAGUCAUAAGCUUGCGCUGAUUACGUCCCUGCCCUUUGUACACACCGCCCGUCGCACCUACCGAUUGAAUGGUCCGGUGAAAUCUUCGGAUCUGAGAGAUGUCUGAUUAAUUUCGGACGCCUUUUGGAAAAGUUGCUUAAACCUUACCAUUUAGAGGAAGGUGAAGUCGUAACA
rnacentral:rRNA from 1 species